AAGAAUAAUCGUGUGCGUGUCAAUUUAUUUCCACAUUGUUCACAGUUCCUCUUUCUGGGAAGGAUUCUCUCGAUCGAUUCUUCCAAAAUUUGCAAAACUGGAAAAAAAAUCCGAUUGCAAUCUUAGAUUAGUUGAUUCCGCCUAAAACCCGAUGUGAUUGUUUGGGCUCCUCUCACUCGUCAUCGUUGAGAUGAUAUAUUUAUCGCUUGGAGGAGGAAACCCACCGGCCUUUUAGUUGCUGCUUUACAUACCUCGAAGCUUACUCCGCAUGAAACCAUCGUCACC